rnacentral:rRNA from 1 species
CAAUAGCGUAUAUUAAAGUUGUUGCAGUUAAAAAGCUCGUAGUUGGAUUUCUGGUAGGAGCGACCGUGCCGAACUUGAUUGUUCGAGUAUUGUGUUGUCUUCAGCCAUCCUCGUGGAGAACUUUUCUAACAUUAACUUGUUGGGAUUGGGACCCGCGUCGUUUACUGUGAAAAAAUUAGAGUGUUUAAAGCAGGCAUUAGCUUGAAUACAUUAGCAUGGAAUAAUAAGAUAGGACUUUGGUACUAUUUUGUUGGUUUGCAUACCAAAUUAAUGAUCAACAGGAACAGUUUGAGGAUAUCCGUAUGAACAUGUCAGAGGUGAAAUUCUUGGAUUUUGAUCAGACGAACUACUGCGAAAGCAUUUAUCAAGGAUGUUUUCAUUAA